rnacentral:rRNA from 1 species
GCCUCAGUAACGGCGAGUGAAGCGGCAAAAGCUCAAAUUUGAAAUCUAGCACCUUCGGUGUUCGAGUUGUAAUUUGAAGAUGGCAACCUUGGGUUUGGCUCUUGUCUAUGUUCCUUGGAACAGGACGUCAUAGAGGGUGAGAAUCCCGUCUGAUGAGAUGCCCAUUCCUUUGUAAGGUGCUAUCGAAGAGUCGAGUUGUUUGGGAAUA